AUACUGUUCACUUCAGUAGUACAUUUACUAAAGUUGGAAUGAUACAGAUUAGAUUAACAUGGCCCCUGUUUAGGGAUGGCAAACAAAUUCUUGAAGUGCUCCACAUUUUA
ensembl:snRNA U6 U6 spliceosomal RNA